rnacentral:rRNA from 1 species
CAGCAGCCGCGGUAAUACGUAGGUGGCAAGCGUUGUCCGGAAUUAUUGGGCGUAAAGGGCUCGCAGGCGGUUUCUUAAGUCUGAUGUGAAAGCCCUCGGCUCAACCGGGGAGGGUCAUUGGAAACUGGGAAACUUGAGUGCAGAAGAGGAGAGUGGAAUUCCACGUGUAGCGGUGAAAUGCGUAGAGAUGUGGAGGAACACCAGUGGCGAAGGCGACUCUCUGGUCUGUAACUGACGCUGAGGAGCGAAAGCGUGGGGAGCGAACAGGAUUAGAUACCCGCGUAGUCCCUGUCUCUUAUAC